UGUGUGUGUAUAUGUGCAUGUAUAUGUAUAUAUGUGUAUGCGCGCGCACACACACACACACACACACACACACACACG